UGUGUGUCUGUGAAGAUAGAUAGAUUAAAUUAUAUCCAAAAUUAAAUAUUUCACUUUGCUGUUUUAUUGCAGGAUACAGACGAGUAUAUACACACCCAUUUUGCCUUUUGCCUCAUCUCCGUACUGUUGCUGUUAAUUGUUGUGAUCCUUUUGACCUUCCUUAUAUUCGGCGUCAACCGUUAUCGAAAACUCGCUGCCAUAACAAAAGAGAGGAUGAACGCAAGCAGCACGCGCAACACCGGUUACCCGCCAAACUCUUGGAUGUAAAAACCACAUACCUACUAACCAACAAAUAUCAAACCACAUACCUACUAACCAACAAAUAUCAAACCGCAUACCCCAGUCAUUUAGUUGAAUUUUCUUUCUGUAAUAUAUACAUAGAUGUAUGUAAUAAAUGUGAGUGCGUGUGUGUAUGGAUGUCCUUGUAAGUACGAAUAUAUAUAAAGAAAAAACGCAGCAUCAACACAAGGUUUGAGACUUACAGUGUUUAAGAAAACAUUUAACUGGAUUUAUUUAUUCCCUUUUUUGUUUCAUUUUAAUAGUAUGUAUGUAUAUAUAUGUAUAAACAAGUAUAUAUGUAUAUAUAAUUAUUUAUAUAUAGAUAUAUAUAUAUAUAAUUCUUUGAGAAGACUUAGUAUUGACAUGACUUUCAAGUUUCGAUCAGGCAAGCCAUUAUUGGGCAGUCCCAUCCUGGCUUGGCUGGCUGAAAUUUCGAAGUCACUGUCAACACUGUUCUGUUUUAAGGAUAAUAAUUUGUAUUCAUCAAAAGUAUGGAGUAAUUACUUUUUAUCUAAGUGAACAUAAGAAAACAAACAUUUAUAUAUGUGUGUGUGCGUGUGUGUGUGUGCGUGUAUAUAUAUAUAUACAUACAUACAUAUAUGUAUAUAUAUAUAUAUAUAUAUAUAUGUGUGUGUGUGUGUGUGUGUGUGUGUGUGUGUGUGU